rnacentral:rRNA from 1 species
UACGUAGGGGGCAAGCGUUGUCCGGAUUUAUUGGGCGUAAAGAGCUCGUAGGCGGCUUAGUAAGUCGGGUGUGAAACCUCCAGGCUCAACCUGGAGACGCCACCCGAUACUGCUGUGGCUAGAGUCCGGUAGGGGAGCGUGGAAUUCCUGGUGUAGCGGUGAAAUGCGCAGAUAUCAGGAGGAACACCAAUGGCGAAGGCAGCUCGCUGGGACGUGACUGACGCUGAGACGCGAAAGCGUGGGGAGCAAACAGG